rnacentral:lncRNA from 1 species
CAGCUGGCCUGGUGGCUCAAGGAAGCCUUCGUGCAUGGGGAGGGGAUUCAGCUGCCUUCAGCUGAACUUCAGCACAGAAUGGAGUUGCAGACGGAGCCGGAAGUCACACGGGUGGGAACAGAAAAAGAGCAAGCUCCCCCUUGUCUGGCUGCUGUGCACGUGGGUCCACGUGGAAUGAGAACAAUCUAGUGAGCCAAAGGUACAAUAAACACAACCUCGGAACAAAUACAAGAACACACAAACAAGGGACUCUGAUGACCUUUAAGGGUUCGAGGACCUGAGAGCGGCGUGCAUUUGAUUCACGUAAUACAAAAUUCCUGGAAUAGUAAAGGCCUAUUAAUGUUUUCAAGAAACCUUUUAAACCUUUACAAAGCUCAUCAAAACAAAAAUGAUCAAAGCCCUAAAAGCAUACUGUAUAAAAUAUAAAAGCAGCCUGGAACAGCAGCAUACCACAUAAAACACCAAGUCCAUUUCCGAGCUGGAUCAUAAACCAGGUAGGUUCCCCAAACACGGCCUUUUUUGCCUUUCCUUUAAACCAUCAGGUUGUAGUAGUGCAGACCAUGGUUUCAUCACAUAUGCAAUCUGAGGACUUUCCAUGCCAAAGAAGUAGUCCAGAAACAUUGGACUUGUAAGACUGUUAUUACCCGUAUGUUUUUCUUCCUUCUUCCUUCCAUACACACACACACACA